CUGCUGCUUGGCGCAGCCUCUUUCUCUUCCUCAGUUCUUAGCAAGUGGUAGUUACGGAAUGUGUCAAAAGCCUUAGAUUCGAAUCCUGAUUGCUAAUUAGUAGCUUGUAACUUUGAAAUGACCACUUAACUUUCUUCAAAAUUUCAGCAAAUGAGCAUUUACGAAGUGCUUGUCAGGAGUCUGAAACCGUGGAGUAUGAAUGUUGGAAAGAUGGUAUGCAAGACACACUUUCCUAGGAAGAUAGAUAAUAUUUUUAAAUUGCAGUACUGUGUGUGCUAAGUGCUAAAUGAGGGUCAUACUCAAAGUGGAAUGGGACAAAGAAGCAGCCCAGGAAGGAAGAGUUGGUCUGGGAGUGGUAGACAUCUGACUGUCUCACAAGGACACUGGGAAGAGUUAGACCCUCUUGUUAACUGUCAGGAGUAAAAUGACCAUUUCUGGUGCUUGGACCCUGUAAAAUCAAGGUUAAGGGCACUCUACCAUGGGAAAUAGGAAAACAAAAUAGAAGAAAAACCCUCUCAAGUUGUUACAAAGCAGAUGAGAGGAGUCCUAUAUAUGCUCCUAAGAAAAAAAUCACAUGAAGCCAAAUAUGUAACCCAUUUAAUGAGUACAGGAAACUCUCAAAGACUUAGAAGAAAACCUUAGAUCAGAUAGGAGAAAACAAUGAAGAGUUGGCUAUCAAAUCCAUCUCCUGCUUUCUGUCGCCUCACAGUGGAGCCACCACAGCAGAGCAGUGUAUGUCUUCAUUCUUUUC